GUGGGGAAUAUUGGACAAUGGGCGAAAGCCUGAUCCAGCCAUGCCGCGUGUGUGAAGAAGGUCUUCGGAUUGUAAAGCACUUUAAGUUGGGAGGAAGGGCAGUAAGUUAAUACCUUGCUGUUUUGACGUUACCGACAGAAUAAGCACCGGCUAACUUCGUGCCAGCAGCCGCGGUAAUACGAAGGGUGCAAGCGUUAAUCGGAAUUACUGGGCGUAAAGCGCGCGUAGGUGGUUUUGUAAGUUGGAGGUGAAAUCCCCGGGCUCAACCUGGGAACUGCCUCCAAAAGUGCAUGACUAGAGUACGGUAGAGGGUAGUGGAAUUUCCUGUGUAGCGGUGAAAUGCGUAGAUAUAGGAAGGAACACCAGUGGCGACGGCGACUACCUGGACUGAUACUGACACUGAGGUGCGAAAGCGUGGGGAGCAAACAGGAUUAGAAACCCGAGUAGUCC
rnacentral:rRNA from 1 species